rnacentral:rRNA from 1 species
GACGAACGCUGGCGGCGUGCUUAACACAUGCAAGUCGAACGGAAAGGCCCUUCGGGGUACUCGAGCGGCGAACGGGUGAGUAACACGUGAGUAACCUGCCCCAGACUUUGGGAUAACCCUCGGAAACGGGGGCUAAUACCGGAUACGACACAGCUUCGCAUGGGGUCUGUGUGGAAAGUUUUUCGGUUUGGGAUGGGCUCGCGGCCUAUCAGCUUGUUGGUGGGGUGAUGGCCUACCAAGGCGACGACGGGUAGCCGGCCUGAGAGGGCGACCGGCCACACUGGGACUGAGAAACGGCCCAGACUCCUACGGGAGGCAGCAGUGGGGAAUAUUGCACAAUGGGCGGAAGCCUGAUGCAGCGACGCCGCGUGAGGGAUGACGGCCUUCGGGUUGUAAACCUCUUUCAGCAGGGACGAAGCGUAAGUGACGGUACCUGCAGAAGAAGCGCCGGCCAACUACGUG